rnacentral:rRNA from 1 species
GUGGGGAAUAUUGGACAAUGGGCGAAAGCCUGAUCCAGCCAUGCCGCGUGUGUGAAGAAGGUCUUCGGAUUGUAAAGCACUUUAAGUUGUGAGGAAGGGCAGUAAGUUAAUACCUUGCUGUUUUGACGUUACCGACAGAAUAAGCACCGGCUAACUUCGUGCCAGCAGCCGCGGUACUACGAAGGGUGCAAGCGUUAAUCGGAAUUACUGGGCGUAAAGCGCGCGUAGGUGGUUCAGUAAGUUGGAAGUGAAAUCCCCGGGCUCAACCUGGGAACUGCAUUCAAAACUGCUGAGCUAGAGUACGGUAGAGGGUGGUGGAAUUUCCUGUGUAGCGGUGAAAUGCGUAGAUAUAGGAAGGAACACCAGUGGCGAAGGCGACCACCUGGACUGAUACUGACACUGAGGUGCGAAAGCGUGGGGAGCAAACAGGAUUAGAUACCCGGGUAGUCC